rnacentral:lncRNA from 1 species
CCAAGGAGAAGAGCCGCCUCUGCAAGGCCCAGGGCAGCACAGAGCUGGGGAGAGGAAAACUGCUGCUGCUCCCCAGACACCAGCUCCCAGGUGGGCUCAGGAACUGGGCCCAGAGGGCUGGAGGCCCAGACGCAGUGAUGGGGAGUCCCCGUGGGCGACUGCCCACACAAGGCGGUGCGGGUGCCCACGGCAACGGCAGGGCUCUGUGAUGGUGGUGGCAUCGUGGCCACAAGGCCACUGUGACAGGGGUGUCCCCGUGGUGACUUGCCAGGGCCGGAGCGCCCCGGGGUCCCCACUUGAGCAGAGCGACUCCAUCAGGAGGGAGCAGCUCCUCUUGGUGCCGGCGUGGUUGGUGUCCGGCAGCGUAUUUGGAGACGCCCAUGGAGCGGGAGGCGAAGCCCUGUUCCCAGCCUGCAGAUGGGCACCCCAGCACGCGGGAGCGCAGCGAGGUGGGCCACCAGGAGCCACCCGCCGCGACGCAGCGGAGCCAGAGCUCGGCUUCGUCCCACCAGAGGGACAGGCUGCCUCUGCUCCCCCGCCCAGAGAGCUCACAGGACUCUGAAGAUGGCAGCACAAAGACGGUCAGGGUGGAGCAGCGGGUGGUUCUGCCCUGCCGGAGUUUGACCAGAGAAGAGCUGCCACUUGUGCCAUGCUUGCCGCCUCUCCCCACCAAGGCAGCAAGCCAGGCAGAUGUGUCCCUGCGCACAGGUAGAGGUCAAGCGGCAGCAUCUACAAGGCCUCUCAAGCUGCCCGCUCUGCCAACAUCCGCGGGACGCUCUGCCAGAAGCAGGCCCGAAGAACUGGAAUGGCCUGCUGAGAACUCUGCAGCAGAUGACUGCAGGGAAGACCUCCCACUUGAUAGUGGCAGUCCCCUUCGAUUAUCCAAGCAGGAUGCUUCUGCUUUCACUGGGGCAAGGGAAGAACAUUUCCCUGCCAUGCCCGAGGCCAGGCCUAGCUSUUCCACAUCAGCACUGGCAACACCAAGGCCAUCGCARGGCCACGGCAGCAGGAUCACUCUUCCCCCGAUCAGCCGGCAGCCUUCAAGACACUCCUUCUUUCUCCUGGGAUCCCAGAGCGCUGCUGAAGGGACAAGCCGAGGUGGCCCAGCAUCCMUGGAGUGGGACAAGCCCUGGCCAAGAUACCCCGUGCUGCCAAGUCGGCGACAGGUGCCGGACACGAGGGUGCAGAGCCACAACUCGAUGUCGAGCGAGUCCUCAGCGUCGCAAGGCGGAGACACCAGCAGCAGAGUCACGGCAGAGGAGGCUGGACUCACCAGCAGCGAGAGCCCCAGCUCCAGCUCCAGCUCCAGCCUCUCCUUCACUGAGGUACUGCAUGGCUCUGCAGAAGACGGCCUUGCCAGGCCCCACGGGGAAAUGGCCCAAGCCGACUCCUCGUCGCCUUCCCUGCCUGAUUUUGCCACCCUUGGCCAUGCCCUCCACGACCUGGACAUCGCAGGGAGGGCUGAGAGGCCGGGCCCUGCCCCGCACAGCCCCACACCAUCCGACCCCUCUCUCGACUAUGUAGUCGACUUGCUCGUCUCUGCAGCCUUGCAGUCAGCCGUGGACGUGAGCAGGAGAGCUAUCCGCAACUGCCGCACGUGCAUGAGGCUGCGGAGGAGCUCAGCGUGGCUGCACCACGGGGGCUGCUGGCACACGCGCUCUGUUCGGCACCUCCGCCAAGCACAGUCCAGGACCAGACGGCACCACAUGCGGAAAGCACAGCCCCGGUGCGUCAGCAAGGACCUGCUCCCCAUGCUCGUGGGGGCAAGCGUGCCAGCUUUCCUGGGCAGAGGCAGAAGGUCAGGGCAUCCCAGACAGCCACCAACAGCAAGGGGCCUACAACAGCAGCAGGAGCAGGAGGAAGCAGCGGGAACCAGAGUCCAGGCAGCGCUGGAGGAAGAGCAAGGGGAGCUGACAGGGGAGGAAGCAGGGCAGCAGGAUGCUGACAGAGACCUGCCAGAAGAGCAGCAGCUGGAGGACUCUGCCUCUGUCCACGUGAUCUGGGUCCGACCGAGCUUCSAG